GACGAACGCUGGCGGCGUGCUUAACACAUGCAAGUCGAGCGGAAAGGCCCUUUCGGGGGUACUCGAGCGGCGAACGGGUGAGUAACACGUGAGUAAUCUGCCCUUGGCUUCGGGAUAGCCACCGGAAACGGUGAUUAAUACCGGAUACGACACAUCACUGCAUGGUGCGUGUGUGGAAAGUUCUUUCGGCCAGGGAUGUGCUCGCGGCCUAUCAGCUUGUUGGUGGGGUAAUGGCCUACCAAGGCUUCGACGGGUAGCCGGCCUGAGAGGGUGACCGGCCACACUGGGACUGAGACACGGCCCAGACUCCUACGGGAGGCAGCAGUGGGGAAUAUUGGACAGUGGGCGGAAGCCUGAUCCAGCAACGCCGCGUGAGGGAUGACGGCCUUCGGGUUGUAAACCUCUUUCAGCACAGACGAAGCGCAAGUGACGGUAUGUGCAGAAGAAGGACCGGCCAACUACGUGCCAGCAGCCGCCGUAACAC
rnacentral:rRNA from 1 species